AUUGAACGCUGGCGGCAUGCUUUACACAUGCAAGUCGAACGGUAACAGGCCUUCGGGUGCUGACGAGUGGCGAACGGGUGAGUAAUGCAUCGGAACGUGCCCAGAGGUGGGGGAUAACGCAGCGAAAGCUGUGCUAAUACCGCAUGUGAUCUGAGGAUGAAAGCGGGGGACCAGGCAGCAAUGUUUGGCCUCGCGCCUUUUGAGCGGCCGAUGUCAGAUUAGGUAGUUGGUGGGGUAAAGGCCUACCAAGCCGACGAUCUGUAGCUGGUCUGAGAGGACGACCAGCCACACUGGGACUGAGACACGGCCCAGACUCCUACGGGAGGCAGCAGUGGGGAAUUUUGGACAAUGGGCGCAAGCCUGAUCCAGCAAUGCCGCGUGCGGGAAGAAGGCCUUCGGGUUGUAAACCGCUUUUGUACGGAACGAAAAGGCUCUGGCUAAUACCUGGGGCUGAUGACGGUACCGUAAGAAUAAGCACCGGCUAACUACGUG
rnacentral:rRNA from 1 species